CUUAACAAUUUAUUUGUCUCUAGUGGGUGCUAAUUUUCUAGAAAGUGCAGCCGGAGAGCAUCGAGUUCAAGAACAUCGAGAAAAUGAAGAGCAAGGCAUGCAUAAUAUUCUGAAUGACUAUCUUAUUAUCUGCAGAAGAAUGGGGGUAGAGGCAGAGAAACUGCAUAUUAUUGAUAAGGAUUGCAUUGAAAAAGGGAUUGUAGAACUUAUCUGCAAGCAUAAUAUCAAGAAGCUUAUGAUGGGAGCAGCUUCUGAUAAGUACCAUUCUAGGAGAAUGACAGAUCUCAGGUCUAGGAAAGCCAUUUAUGUGAGAGAA